CAUUUCAGAUCUGAGUUUCACCACUGGGUGAUGGUAACAACUACCAUCCACGCCCAAUAAGGGAUAUGUUGGGUAGGGAUGGGACAGGACUGUUUAAAAGAAAAUACCAUUUACUCAGAACAUCUGUCAGUCAAGGGUAAAAACUCCUAGACUGAAAGUUUCCACCACUUGCAGGACCCCUUCAAGACUCAGAUCCCAAAUUGCCAAGGGCUACACCAGGAACUUAAACAAAAAAUAUUUACCCCAUGACAGCUAAACCCAUGUGACAUGCAAUCAAGCAAAGUGAUGUGAAUUGAAAAUAUACAUGAAUCCAAUAAGAGUUUAAUUCCAUGGAUCACAGAGUCAUAACAGGAUGGUAAGAGAAGACUGGAUCGAUGACUGGGGCCUAUGCCCAGCCUUCCAUAGUUGACAUCCAGGUAAAUUAACCACUCCAUUUGAAGCCAUGGCCAAGAGGGAGAGGAGAGAUGGAAAAGUAGCCAGAGAGCCACCACAUACAGAUAUGUUGAAAACAGGAAAGGUACGAGUGAUGGUGGGCAGUGUUCAGGGGUGGUUUAUCUACAUAUUUCUAGCCUCUUCCUGCUCUGGCUGUCUCCUGGAGAUCUUGUUUAGACACUGGCCACAAGGGCCGCCCUCCAGCACAAAGCUUAGGGUGUUAUCCGUAGAACCCAGGUGCAGCCAGGGCCACCUUUUGCUCACAUGAAUCCAGUUAGCACGACAAAAGGCAGUAGGGAAAAAAGGCUUCCAGAGUCUACUGACAAAAGAACCUGGGAUCUUAUCUCACUCUCUGUCUCUCUGUCUCUCUCUCUCUCCCCUCCUCUCUCCUCUCUCACCUCCCUCGGGAGUUUCAUUGGAAAAUGGAAAAAGUCCCCCCAGAGUCUUCCAGGUCUCUAACAAUCUGCCUUCUGUAGGGACCAGACACAGCUCUCAAUUCUUAGGGGUCCUUUCCCGGCACAGUUUAUUACACACAAAUUUCCAAGUGAUUUAUUGCAGAUUCAUGAACAAUGGAGGGUGAUGUGUUAUACACAUUUUCUGCAGAUGAAAGAGAUGGAGAGAGGGGAAGAGGCCAUGAGGUUAAGUGGCAAGUGCAAAGCCACCGUGUUGGUGACACCUGGUACUUACAAGAACUUCCCUGAAAACACAGAGUGCUGACUGUGUAGGGGCCCAGAAACGUGAAGAGCAGCAGAAAACCCUUCUGUCUGCCCAGUGAGUCAGCCCUGCCUAACUUCAUGCGUAAGCUCUCCUCAAGUCAGCGGCAGCUCCGAGCUGCGGGCCUGUGUGCAGCCGAGAUAAAUUUGGGUCCAGAAGGGAUGACGUAAUGCUAAACCCGAGAGGUGGCUGCCGCCUCCCCGGGCUCCAGUCGCCAGGACUGCCGGCUGACAUCUCCACCACACAGACACCUCCAGGUGACCCAGGUGCCCCAGCUGGGGAGAGAGGGAAAGAAAGGACAAGGGCUGGGGAGAACAGCAGGGGAGGCAGUGUUAAUCUGAGAUCGCUGAAUCUGGAAGUUUGUUGUUUUUUAACUCCAGUUUUUCUGGUGAGAUCAGACCAUUGGCAAAGGCUCAAACAGCUGCACUUGACCCAUCUCUUUCCUCUUAGAAAAGGGCUUCUCACAUUUUAUUAAAUGGCCCUUAUUACAGCAGCCUAUUUCGGUGAUUAUAAUGGAUGCACUACUCUCUUAAAUGUCCUUUUCUUUCUUGUUUGCACGGACUUGGAUCCAAGAAGAAAUCUGCAAUGCAGGACUCAAUUAACAUGCACAUCGAAGUGGCUUGCUUACCCCGGAGCUCCCCACUUGGGGGGAUCAGGGGUGCAACUGAUUAGGUAUGUGCAGGGAUUUGGCUAAGGCCACAACAAGUGAAUGUUCCCCCAAGUAACAUUUCAUGGUUCCUGUCACAGGAGUUUAUAUCAUUAAGCUUAUUUCUCAGUCUCCAUUUAUUAAGACAACUGAGGCUCAGAGAGGUAUAGCAACUUGCUCAAGGCCACACAGCUGUCUCUCAAACUGAUGGAGCAAGGGUUAGCACUCAGUCCCGCAGCCCUAGGCACUCAUCUGUCUCCAUAUUUCUUCUGCAGGUGAAUUCCAGUUUAAAGAAACAACAGAGGUGGAGCUCCACUUUCUGAUAGUUUUCAACCGUAAAUAUCACGAUCAAGGCACAUGGCAGAGGGCUCCAAGGCUGUUUUUGUUCCCGGUUCCAGGCUUACUCUUCCCCGAGGAUAGGAGAUGGAGAAGCAGCUCCCUCUCUGCUGGCGAUGGCCAUGGCCAUUCCCACUCUCCCACUUUAAUUAAAAGACCCCACAAAUCAACAGCGUGUUGUAUUGAAGUAGUUGCCUUCAUUGGGAACCCCUUCCAAAUACCUUUUUCAAAAGACUCACCACCACAUGUCGCUAUAGUCACGUAUUAUUCUCCUCUAAUUUGUAUCUGUCAUCACAUAUACACGAGAUUUCAUGAUUUUCUGCCAUGUUUGGCAUCUAACCUGGUCAGCCACAGUAUAAUAUUCUUUUGAAGUCCUGCUCAAUUCUGUGGGUUAACAUUUUGCCUAUGACUUUUGCAUCUAUAGCAAAAGCACAAGUAAACUAUAAUAUCCUCUGUUGUGGCAUUUGUCAGGUUUCUGUAUUACAAUGUUCUGUUCUUUCAAAGUUAGAUGCAACUUGAUUUUAAAGCCUGGAGAGGAAAAAAAAAAAAUACCGCCAGAGGCCAGCCUUCUGCUGCUUAGAGGAUGCCCCACAUUCUUGCCACAGCCCUGGGUUACCCUCCUUCCCCCUGCCAGUAGCUGGCCUGGAGAGGCCCUGCCCCCACUCCCUGGCAUCACCACUCCCUUCCAGGAGCAGAAACUCGUAGAGGUCACUGGGAGGCCCAGCCAGGCCCUGGACACUAAAUCACAAGCCUGCUUCCUGCGUCUGAGUUCUCCGUCCCGGGCAGCAUGGAUAAUCAGAUCACCAGGCUCUGCCUGUCCGAAGACACGGGCCAUCUCCCCAUCUCUCCCACCCUGACGGUGUAGGGGAGUGUCAUUUCUGACAAGCACCCGGGAGAUGCCAAGGCUGUCCAGCCUCGGUCUACACGCAUUCUAAACAGCAAAGGUAAAGGCCAUGGUAAGGAGUUUGGAUUUUAAGUGAGGCACAAAAGAAACUAUUGAAGGGCUUUAACCUGGUGAGUGAUGUGAACCUACUUUUACUUGAGAUCUUUCUUGUUUCCUAGAUCUCCCACGGGGACAGUUAGAGGUUGGGCCUACAUGGCUUGAUGGGAUGUGGCCAGCCUGCACUGUCCCCACUGCACCAGGGACUGGGGCUUGUCUGCGGCCUGCCCUAGCCUCCUGUCUGGCUUCCCUGGCAGAAGCCCUUGGCCCUAAGCAUGGGACAGCCCAGUUGCCCUACAAGCUGGGGCACCUCUGGGAAGCCUCCUCCAGCCUGCCAGGGUGUGGAUUCACACCCCUGACACCCCAGAGCACAGAGCCACUGGAGUCCUACUGGUUGGACACUGCAGUUGGAUCCCAGCAGUAUGGGGCCGAGGGCAUGCUGAGCGGGACAGUGCACUUCGUAGGACGCUGGUGUGUGUGGACAGUCCUCCACGUGCAGAAGGCCACGCCUAUAAAGAACUCACAGUGGAAUGUGUUUAUUUACAAGCCUGCUUGUGAGCCCUCCCCAGAUGAUAAUCCCCAUUUCUGGGAGUGGCAGUGGGAGAGCGACUGCACCAAGGACAGGGAUGCUCAACUGAAAACAAACAUCCACUCCACCCCGCUGUCAAUCAGCCCACAACACUUGGGUGGGGGGAGAACAACUGCACAUAGGAGACAGUUGAGACAUCCUUGCAGAAUGGAUGAACCCGUCACAGGACAGCUCUCACCACCGAAACGUGACCCACUGGAACCGUCUUCCCUUUUAGCCUGGGAGGGGGAAGAGGAGGAGGCGGAGAAACUGAGAUCAAGCGAUUACAGGGGAACUCGCCGAAAUGAAGGCGGGGAGGUUGUGCACCUGAGCCGGUCAGCAUUGCCCUUUGCAGUAGUGACCUAA